rnacentral:lncRNA from 1 species
AACUAACCCAUUUAGUUUAAACCCAAACUUAAGCCACAACAGCACAUAAACAUGCUCAAUGUCCAAGGGCAAUUUAGACAUUUCACACCAUCGAUAACAAUAAUUCGGGAUGGGCUGUGAUAAUUUUUUUAAACAACUAUAAUAUUGUUUGAUUUCAAUUUGUAAUUACUUUUUUUGUUGUUAAAUUUAAGCUUAAUUAUGUUAGUAAAUCUUUAUACCGUUAUGUCCAAAUACGUAUACAAUAUAGUAUAUGAUACAUAUACAGUACUGUAUAUGUAUAGUUUUUAUAAUGUUACUGAGCAUUUUCAAUAUAUGAAAAGUGCAUUCUUCACAAAGGCAAAAUAGAGAACAUAUAUAUAUAUAUAUAUAUUUUUUUUUUUUUGACAAAGGUAAACAAUUCCAUUACCAACAACCCAAAUACACAACAAAGGUCCAAAGACAAAUAGAGAACAGAUUAUACUUCUUACUUCAUAUGAAAAGAAGAGGUUAGUUUGAUUGUCAUUGCUUUUUUCAUAUGGUUUAACUUCUAAGUUACUUGGCUUACGUCUAAUUUAAUUGUUUGCUUGCCCAAGUUAAAGUCAUUCGUUUUAUUAAUGCUGGUGAACAAAAUCAACUUGAGUUAAUGUUAAAACAAUAUCAUAAUUUCCAUUAGUCUUGAUUGUCUUAACCCUUUCUUUUCCGUUUUUACCAAAAUUUCAUGAAAUUUUUGCACAAGCAUUUUUUAUAGAAAUUAAGUUGAUUUACUAUUUUACUGUCUCUUGGUAGAAUUUUCUUAUUCAUUGUUCAAAAUUAGUAUUGCAAAUUUUAAGUGGUGGAACAGACCCAAAUUAAACCUAUAAUAGCACCAAAUUAAAUUUAUAUUAAAGUGUUCUUUAGCUGCAAAUGUGGGCGUGGCCAUAUUUCAAGAUAUGUUCCCACCCCAUCCCUUUGUGCAAACAAAUCUAUAUUAACACAAAACAAAAUGUCGUUUGUAUCAAAAGAAAAAAGAUGAGAUUUUUUAACAUUUUUCAACUUUUCGAAGACAAAAACCAAGAACAAAAUUGGUCUAGAACAAAGGAUUUUACAUUAGUAUAUCCAUAAUUGAAGGAUUUAAGCCCUUUCCACACAUUCAUUUUUCUACAAAGACUUGGUUCAUAUGGCAGCUAAACAAUAUGUGAAGGUUGAAUAGUUGACUUAGUUGACUUGCAAGCAGGCGAGAAUAUAAUGUAUUAAAUUAGAAUAGAACUACCCUAAUAACCCUAAGUUUUAUACAAGCAUUUAAAGGGUUAAAUUGGACUGCACCCUGCAGAAACUUUAAAGAAAUAAAGUUUAUCUAGAAAGAAAAGGACGUGUAUACCUAACAGAGUCAAAAUGGAUGACUUGAAAUCUAAACAAACAUUAUAUUUGCUUUCUGUAUUGCAUUUACUUUCUUAAAUUGAGAGUUGUUAUAAUCUAAAUAAAGCUGACUUGAAUGACCAUUUUUUUUGAAGGUUGAGUCGGAAAUUCGGAGUAUAUAAUUUCAAAAUGUGGUAAACAUGGAGCUUCUUUUCUAUUGAUGGACCUUCUUUAUUUGAAGAUGGUUAUACUUGCAAUCUUGCAGACUAAAUAAAUAAAUAAAAACAAGUCAAAAUGGAUGACCCAUUAUAACCUACGCCUCCCAUUGGGAACAAAGACCAAGACCUUUCACAAUCUAGUUCUGUCGCACAGUAUGCUGGUAGGCAAAUUUUAGUGUGGUGGUCAUAUAGUAUGUUGUCAAGUCUUAAAUAUCAAGUUAGAUUAAAAGUUAGCAUAUUACAUUUUUCCUCCAAACCAUAUGAUCAGCAGUUUUGGUUUCUGAAGCGAUUUCAAGUCCUAAAUUUUAUUAAAUACAAUAAGAAUUGUUACAAGGUUAAAGACACUAGAAAUUCGAUUU